ACGUGAGGCUUCAAUAAAAAAGAGUAAAAUUUGAACCUAUGAAAUUACAUUAUUGCCCAUCAUUUUUUUUGUAUGAUAGAAGACUUUUGUCUUUUCACCAGCUAUUAGAUAACAAAGAGGAUUUAAUUAAUUAAUAGAGAUAUUCUAAUUUAUUUAUUUCUGACCCAUUUAAGAUUUAACAGUACAAGGGUGGUGUCUUUGCUCGGGAAUUGCAGGUCAUAAGUGUGAAAGAUUACAAUCUUUUUUUUGGUCGACAGGAAGAACUUUUAAUUAAAAAGGGGAGACCCAAACGAUUACAAACAGAUCAAAGGAGGCAAAAGCUCUCCAUUCCCAGAGGGAAUAAAACCAACAUAGAUCUUCUCCCGAUUUUUUUUGGUAAGGAUUACUAGAAUUUGUAAAUUGUGUUCGUUCAUCAUACAUUGUACAGUUAUUUUUGUCAAGUACUAUUUGUGUUUAAUUUUAAAUAAGAAUAUUUAAAAUAAUUUCUGAUCAUACGAUGUACGAAGAACAAACACAAUUUACAAAUUUUUGAAAUCCUCA
rnacentral:lncRNA from 1 species